GUGGUACUCCCUCUGUCCGGAAAUACUUGUCAUCAAAAUGGAUAAAAGGGGAUGUAUCUAGACGUAUUUUAGUUCUAGAUACAUCUCUUUUUAUCCAUUUUGAUGACAAGUAUUUUCGGACGAGGGAGUAACUG
rfam:Triticum urartu cultivar G1812 contig344418, whole genome shotgun sequence.